rnacentral:rRNA from 1 species
GGGGAUAACAGUUGGAAACGACUGCUAAUACCGCAUAAUGUCUACGGACCAAAGGGGGCUUUUAGCUCUCGCGUGAAGAGAGGCCCAAGUGAGAUUAGCUAGUUGGUGAGGUAAAGGCUCACCAAGGCGACGAUCUCUAGCUGUUCUGAGAGGAAGAUCAGCCACACUGGGACUGAGACACGGCCCAGACUCCUACGGGAGGCAGCAGUGGGGAAUAUUGCACAAUGGGGGAAACCCUGAUGCAGCCAUGCCGCGUGUGUGAAGAAGGCCUUCGGGUUGUAAAGCACUUUCAGUUGUGAGGAAAGGUUGGUAGUUAAUACCUGCCAGCUGUGACGUUAACAACAGAAGAAGCACCGGCUAACUCCGUGCCAGCAGCCGCGGUAAUACGGAGGGUGCGAGCGUUAAUCGGAAUUACUGGGCGUAAAGCGCACGCAGGCGGUUUGUUAAGCUAGAAGUGAAAGCCCCGGGCUCAGCCUGGGAAGGCCUUUUAGAACUGGCAAGCUAGAGUCUUGGAGAGGGGAGUGGAAUUCCAGGUGUAGCGGUGAAAUGCGUAGAUAUCUGAGAGGAACAUCAGUGGCGAAGGCGGCUCCCUGGCCAAAGACUGACGCUCAUGUGCGAAAGUGUGGGUAGCGAACAGGAUUAGAUACCCUGGUAGUCCACACCGUAAACGCUGUCUACUACCUGUGUGUGAAUUUAAUUUGUGCGUAGCGAAGCAAACGCGCUAAGUAGACCGCCUGGGGAGUACGGCCGCAAGGUUAAAACUCAAAUGAAUUGACGGGGGCCCGCACAAGCGGUGGAGCAUGUGGUUUAAUUCGAUGCAACGCGAAGAACCUUACCUACUCUUGACAUCCAGAGAACUUUGCAGAGAUGCGAAGGUGCCUUCGGGAAUUCUGAGACAGGUGCUGCAUGGCUGUCGUCAGCUCGUGUCGUGAGAUGUUGGGUUAAGUCCCGCAACGAGCGCAACCCUUGUCCUUAGUUGCCAGCAUUAAGUUGGGCACUUUAAGGAGACUGCCGGUGACC